GCUUAAGUGGCUUAGUUGGUUAAGCAUCUUGACUUCAGCUCAGGUCAUGAUCUCACGAUUUGUGAGUUCAAGCCCCACGUUGGGCU
rnacentral:tRNA from 1 species